GGGGGUGCACUGGUUUCGACGGGGACGUGGAAGCCGGAGUGGCAGGCCGAGGCGCCGCUGGCCUCGUAAAAAGCGGCAACACUGUAAUUGCCAACAACGAUUACGAAUACGCCUACGCUGCAUAAGCGCGGCAAAUGACCGCUUGACGGUCACGUUACAGGGGAUUACGCCUGAUACUCCUUUGUGGCGACACUUAUCAGGCUGGCGAAAACCGGUGUCUGCCGGGGUUUUUCGUGAGAUGUUACCGGCGGAUAUGUCGUAUGGCGCCUGAUCGGGGGCACCCAUGCGGCGUGAUGUAAACCUGAUCUAAGCCUGUAGAUGCUUUGUGUAGAGUGUUUUCGGACGGGGGUUCGAUUCCCCCCACCUCCACCA
rnacentral:tmRNA from 1 species